rnacentral:rRNA from 1 species
ACGAACGCUGGCGGCGUGCUUCACCCAUGCAAGUCGCACGGAAAGGCCCUGCUUGCAGGGUCCUCGAGUGGCGAACGGGUGAGUAACACGUGGGUGAUCUGCCCUGCACUUCGGGAUAAGCCUGGGAAACUGGGUCUAAUACCGGAUAGGAGCCAUUUUUAGUGUGAUGGUUGGAAAGUUUUUUCGGUGUAGGAUGAGCUCGCGGCCUAUCAGCUUGUUGGUGGGGUAAUGGCCUACCAAGGCGGCGACGGGUAGCCGGCCUGAGAGGGUGGACGGCCACAUUGGGACUGAGAGACGGCCCAGACUCCUACGGGAGGCAGCAGUGGGGAAUAUUGCACAAUGGGCGCAAGCCUGAUGCAGCGACGCCGCGUGGGGGAUGACGGCCUUCGGGUUGUAAACUCCUUUCGCUAGGGACGAAGCUUUUUGUGACGGUACCUAGAUAAGAAGCACCGGCUAACUACGUG